GACGUAGGGGGCCAGCGUUGUUCGGAAUUACUGGGUGUAAAGGGUUCGUAGGCGGUGCGGCAAGUCGGGAGUGAAAUCUCUGGGCUUAACCCAGAGGCUGCUUCCGAAACUGCUGUGCUUGAGUGUGGGAGAGGCGCGUGGAAUUGCAGGUGUAGCGGUGAAAUGCGUAGAUAUCUGGAGGAACACCGAUGGCGAAGGCAGCCCCCUGGGCUAGCACUGACGCUCAGGCACGAAAGCGUGGGGAGCAAACAGG
rnacentral:rRNA from 1 species